rnacentral:rRNA from 1 species
UGGGCAAUCUGCCCUGCACUCUGGGACAAGCCCUGGAAACGGGGUCUAAUACCGGAUACUGAUCCUCGCAGGCAUCUGCGAGGUUCGAAAGCUCCGGCGGUGCAGGAUGAGCCCGCGGCCUAUCAGCUAGUUGGUGAGGUAACGGCUCACCAAGGCGACGACGGGUAGCCGGCCUGAGAGGGCGACCGGCCACACUGGGACUGAGACACGGCCCAGACUCCUACGGGAGGCAGCAGUGGGGAAUAUUGCACAAUGGGCGAAAGCCUGAUGCAGCGACGCCGCGUGAGGGAUGACGGCCUUCGGGUUGUAAACCUCUUUCAGCAGGGAAGAAGCGAAAGUGACGGUACCUGCAGAAGAAGCGCCGGCUAACUACGUGCCAGCAGCCGCGGUAAUACGUAGGGCGCAAGCGUUGUCCGGAAUUAUUGGGCGUAAAGAGCUCGUAGGCGGCUUGUCCGUCGGUUGUGAAACCCGGGGCUUAACCCCGGGUCUGCGUCGAUACGGGCAGGCUAGAGUUCGGUAGGGGAGAUCGGAAUUCCUGGUGUAGCGGUGAAAUGCGCAGAUAUCAGGAGGAACACCGGUGGCGAAGGCGGAUCUCUGGGCCGAUACUGACGCUGAGGAGCGAAAGCGUGGGGAGCGAACAGGAUUAGAUACCCUGGUAGUCCACGCCGUAAACGGUGGGCACUAGGUGUGGGCAACAUUCCACGUUGUCCGUGCCGCAGCUAACGCAUUAAGUGCCCCCGCCUGGGAGUACCGGCCGCAGGCUAAAACUUCAAAGGAAUUGACGGGGCCCGCACAAGCGGCGGAGCAUGUGGCUUAAAUUCGACGCACGCGAAGAACCUUACCAAGGCUUGACAUACACCGGA